rnacentral:rRNA from 1 species
ACGGUACCUACAGAAAAAGCACCGGCUAACUACGGUGCCAGCAGCCGCGGUAAUACGUAGGGUGCAAGCGUUGUCCGGAAUUAUUGGGCGUAAAGAGCUCGUAGGCGGUUUGUCGCGUCUGCUGUGAAAAUCCGAGGCUCAACCUCGGACCUGCAGUGGGUACGGGCAGACUAGAGUGCGGUAGGGGAGAUUGGAAUUCCUGGUGUAGCGGUGGAAUGCGCAGAUAUCAGGAGGAACACCGAUGGCGAAGGCAGAUCUCUGGGCCGUUACUGACGCUGAGGAGCGAAAGCAUGGGGAGCAAACAGGCUUAGAUACCCUGGUAGUCCAUGCCGUAAACGUUGGGAACUAGAUGUGGGGACCAUUCCACGGUCUCCGUGUCGUAGCUAACGCAUUAAGUUCCCCGCCUGGGGAGUACGGCCGCAAGGCUAAAACUCAAAGGAAUUGACGGGGGCCCGCACAAGCGGCGGAGCAUGCGGAUUAAUUCGAUGCAACGCGAAGAACCUUACCAAGGCUUGACAUAUACGAGAACACUGUAGAGAUACAGGACUCUUUGGACACUCGUAUACAGGUGGUGCAUGGUUGUCGUCAGCUCGUGUCGUGAGAUGUUGGGUUAAGUCCCGCAACGAGCGCAACCCUCGUCCUAUGUUGCCAGCACGUAAUGGUGGGAACUCAUGGGAUACUGCCGGGGUCAACUCGGAGGAAGGUGGGGAUGACGUCAAAUCAUCAUGCCCCUUAUGUCUUGGGCUUCACGCAUGCUACAAUGGCCGGUACAAUGGGCUGCAAUACCGCAAGGUGGAGCGAAUCCCAAAAAGCCGGUCUCAGUUCGGAUUGAGGUCUGCAACUCGACCUCAUGAAGUCGGAGUCGCUAGUAAUCGCAGAUCAGCAACGCUGCGGUGAAUACGUUCCCGGGCCUUGUACACACCGCCCGUCAAGUCAUGAAAGUCGGUAACACCCGAAGCCGGUGGCCUAACCUUUUGGAGGGAGCCGUCGAAGGGGAGCAG